rnacentral:rRNA from 1 species
ACGAACGCUGGCGGCAUGCCUCACCCAUGCAAGUCGAACGAGACCUUCGGGUCUAGUGGCGCACGGGUGCGUCACGCGUGGGAACCUGCCCUUAGGUUCGGAAUAACUCCCCGAAAGGGGUGCUAAUACCGGAUAAUGUCUUCGGACCAAAGAUUUAUCGCCUUUGGAUGGGCCCGCGUUGGAUUAGCUGGUUGGUAGGGUAAAAGCCUACCAAGGCGACGAUCCAUAGCUGGUCUGAGAGGAUGAUCAGCCACACUGGGACUGAGACACGGCCCAGACUCCUACGCGAGGCAGCAGUGGGGAAUAUUGGACAAUGGGCGAAAGCCUGAUCCAGCAAUGCCGCGUGAGUGAUGAAGGCCUUAGGGUUGUAAAGCUCUUUUACCCGGGAUGAUAAUGACAGUACCGGGAGAAUAAGCUCCGGCUAACUCCGUG